rnacentral:snRNA from 1 species
AUCGCUUCUCGGCCUUUUGGCUAAGAUCAAAGUGUAGUAUCUGUUCUUAUCAGCUUAAUAUCUGAUACGUCCUCCAUUGGGGGACAUCGAUAUUAAACUGAUUUUUGAAAGGGGGUGAGGUGCCCGGGGCUUGCUCCGCCCUCACCACGGGUUGACCCGGUAUUGCAGUACUUCCGGGAAUGGCCCCACCACU